GUGGAUAUGAUGAUUAUUUCCCCAGAUGAUCGAAGCUGAAAUUACUGAGCGACUUUUGAUUCUCAUUUAUGAGAAUGCUGAAAUUACUGAGCGAC